GACGAACGCUGGCGGCGUGCUCAACACAUGCAAGUCGAACGGAAAGGCCCUGCUUUUGUGGGGUGCUCGAGUGGCGAACGGGUGAGUAACACGUGAGUAACCUGCCCUUGACUUUGGGAUAACUUCAGGAAACUGGGGCUAAUACCGGAUAGGAGCUCCUGCUGCAUGGUGGGGGUUGGAAAGUUUCGGCGGUUGGGGAUGGACUCGCGGCUUAUCAGCUUGUUGGUGGGGUAGUGGCUUACCAAGGCUUUGACGGGUAGCCGGCCUGAGAGGGUGACCGGCCACAGUGGGACGGAGAUACGGGCCAGACUCCUACGGGAGGCAGCAGUGGGGAAUAUGGCACAAUGGGCGGAGGCCUGAUGCAGCAACGCCGCGUGCGGGAUGACGGCCUUCGGGUGGUAAACCGCUUGCGCCUGUGACGAAACGUGAGUGACGGUAAUGGGUAAAGAAGCACCGGCUAACUACGU
rnacentral:rRNA from 1 species